UACAGAGGGGGCAAGCGUUGUUCGGAAUUACUGGGCGUAAAGGGAGCGUAGGCGGGCUAACAAGUCUGGGGUGAAAUGCCGCGGCUCAACCGUGGAACUGCCUCAGAUACUGUCGGCCUCGAGGGAGAUAGGGGCAUGCGGAACUAACGGUGGAGCGGUGAAAUGCGUUGAUAUCGUUAGGAACUCCGGUGGCGAAAGCGGCGUGCUGGAUCUCUUCUGACGCUGAGGCUCGAAAGCUAGGGGAGCAAACGGG
rnacentral:rRNA from 1 species